CCUGCCUCAUGCUCCCUUAUCAAUUAUGAUGGCUUUUGUAAAAAAAAAAAAAAAAAAAGAAAAAAGAAAAAAAGAAAAGAAAAGAAAAGAAAGAAAAAGAAAAAAGGAAAGUUUUAGUUUUUAUAUAUAUUUUUGCUUUUUACACAUUUGGUGGUUUUCUCUCUGUAGUUUCAGUCACCUGUGGUCAAUCAUGGUCCAGAAACAGAUGAUCCUCUUUCUGGUGAAUGGUGAGAAAGUCUGUAAUAGCCUAACAUUACAUCACAGCGUCUGCAUUUUUCACCUCCUUUCAUUUUAUCAUCUCACAUCAUCACGAGAAGGAUGAGGUACGGCGUAAUAUGAGAUAUUGAGAGAGAGAGACCACAUUCACAUAACUUUUAUUGCAGUAUGUUGUUAUAAUUAUUCUAUUUUAUUACUAGGCGGUGGUGUUCAUCUCUUACUGGCCUAAUUUAUAAAUUAUCCAAGUUAUUAUCCUCAUCGUGCAGAGGGGGAGCCAAGCCCUUAGAGAAUCUUGGUCAAAGCCAAAUAAUGGAAACAUGUGGAUUAAGAAUCAAGCCUAUCUCUACGAACUCUAAGGUCUGUGGAUCCAUUGUUGAUUCGUUUUAUUUUGGACCAAAGAACUCGAUUGGCCGUUCUAGGCAAGAGCUGCAGUUUUCUCUGCUCAAGGACAAGUAGGUCCUUCUCAGGAUAAGUCUGCCUUCGGAAGAAGAUCUCUGUCUGGGAAGAUUGUGCCCACCGGCAGCACGGGCUUCCGUUCGGAGACAGCGUGUGAGCAAGGGAAGAGCAGAGAGAGGGGGAGACACAGAAUUCAAAGCAGGCUCCAGACCCUGGGCUGUCAGCGCAGAGCCUGACACGGGCCUGGAACUCACGAACCGCGAGAUCAUGACCUGAACCGAAGUCGGACACUCAGCCGAAUGAGCCACCCGGGCGCCCCUCAAAUGUGAUUUUUUUUUUUUUAAAAGAAAACUCCCUGGUCUUCCAUUCGCUUGCGUGGGACACCUCCUUGUCGAGUGACAUGUGAAAGUACCAGGAGCUGGAAGGCUCAUUUUUUUUUUUUUUUUUUUUUUUUUAAGACGGGAAACGUCGUCUUCUAGCAAUAGGUAUGUCCCAGUGCGGACGGGGAUGCCGUAACAAUGAGAGCUCCUGUAUUCCUAAUUUCAAGGAUUAUUAAAAUUCCUGGCUGCAGCAAGGGAGACCAGAAAAUCAGCAACGCCGCAGCUGCAGGAGGCCGUAAGCUCCUUGAAGGCCGGGCCAUGUCUGUUCUGUCUCGAUCUCCCACAAGCAAAAUGCACACAGUGCUUGAAUCCUCAAUACAAGAAUUAGAAAGAACAUGAUUUGGGGGCCACAGUCUUGAGCGUUCCAAUCUGAGCAACCUCAUGGACAUCUUUUCUCUGAUGACGAUGUCGGGAUCCACACAAAACACCACUGGCUAUUAGCUUCACUGACUUUUCCUGGCCUGCAAACCAAGUUCACUGGUUCAUUGGACGCUUUGCCGCAUGCUGGUCUCUUCAUUAUGUUUUUCCUCUGAUUUGGCUACGAUUUAGGAAAGGGCCGCACCUCAGAUGUUCGUUUUGCAAAUAAGGUGGCUGAAGGAAAAAAAAAAGUGAUGUUAAGUCUCACAUUUCGGAGAUACUUGGGCCUCUUCUUCACUCUGAGAUAGAAAUGUAUCUUCCAAUUUGCUCGGCCUUCUAAGCUCCUACAAAAUUAAAUGUGAACGUUUCCAUGAAAAGGAGGUGAUUUUUUUUUUUUUUUUUGCUAGCUUUGUGUUCCUCUUUGUUAAUCUGCUCAUGUGGCCAAAAAUUACACAGAAAAUUAUUGCGAGAGCUACAGCUCUUGGAGCAUUUUUGUCCCAGGGAAUGGAUUCCCUUUUCUUCCUUAUUACGAAGAGUAUUGAGUGUGUGUGUGUGUGUGUGUGUGUGUGUGUGUGUGUGAGUGUGUGCGUGUCUGUAGAUGCAUUUUGAAGCAAAAACUAAAUCAUAGGAGCCAUCCCACAAAGGCCAUCCUGCCACCGCCCACAGUUCAUUGGCCCAUCUCUCUCUCCUCCCCCCACCCCACCUCAUCUCCACCUCCCAACCCUGCAAGUAACUGGCAGUGCUCUCCUCCUCCUCCCUGGGCCUCUGUUAUCCCAGCGGCCGCCGCAAACUCAUUCCUCACUUCCACCAAACUGAUUUCUGUUUGCGGAGCAGCUGGCGGGAGCUUUCCGAGGCCAGGAGCUGCCUGAGAAGCAAGCCUGCUUCCUUCCACGGUCAGGGGGCUUUUUAGAAAUAACACCCUCCUCGGAGGAAGUCAGAACAGCAACAGGAAAAUAAGUAAAACCUAUUAUAAAACAGUUGUCCCAGAACUUGGGCACGGCGCUGGGUGGAGAUCGAUACACUUGUGAAGGUUAAAUCUAUUUUCACACUGUGUUCUAUUUCACAGUUUAAUGGUGUUUUAAUGUGUCUGUCACCGAGCCCCUUCAUGUUAUGCAGGUAGGGCCUUUACAAAGGAGAAAGAACCCGGCUUUUCAAGCUUCGCUGUAACAUCUUAUUUACCAGCUGCGAUCUGACAUUUUCUUUUCCCUUCCAGAGCGACGGCGGGUCUGGCUCUCCCUCUCAACCCCUCUGGCUCUCCUUCCAAUCCUCAUUUGUACUCCUAAUUUUGCGAGGAGGCAAAGUUGAGACCCUGAGAGAGAUUCUUAGGUAUCUCUCUGAAAAGCACUCCAGCAUAGUUAGCCGUAUUUAAGAAGAAGGUAACUAAGACCUUUCUGAUUCGUCCUCCCCGUGUCCUCAGUUGGCCUCCUACAUUGUGUGGGGGAUCCCAGCUGGUUCUGGCCAAACUCACUGCCCUCCCUCUCCUGCUGGCGUUUCCUGCUCAGCCCCCAACUUUGUCUCUCUCUCUCUCCACCUUACACGUCAGCGAGCACGUGGUCAGGGGUCUCGCUUUGCUUCCCCACCCUCAUGAGAGAAAUCCUGACUAUCCUUGCCUCCGAAGAGAUCUUUCCUUCUACCUUGACACAAGUCAGCCAUGGGAACUGUGUUAGUUUUUCCCAGGGCUGUUGUAACUUGGUGCCGUAAAGGUAACAGAAAUGUGUCCCCUCGCAGAUGUGGAGGCUGGAAGUCUGAAACCGAGAGCAGGCAGGGCCAUGGUCUCUCUGAAGGCUCUACAGGAGCCUUUCAAUUAACUUCUAGUGUUACGGGAAAUCCUUGGCUUUCCUUGGUUUGUGAACACCUCCCUCCCACCUCUGUCUUUCUCAUUAUAUAGUGUUCUCCCAAUGCAUUCUCUUCUUAUGAGGAUACCACUCAUAUUGUGUGAAGGGCCAGCCUAUUCUACCAUGACCCCGUCUUAACUAAUUGCAUCUGCGAUGGUCUUAUUUCCAAAACAUGGUCACAGGCUGAGGUCCUAGGAAGGAUGUGAACUUGGGGAAAUGCUAUAUGUGACGGUUAAUUUUAUGCGUCAACUUGACUGGGCCACGGUGCCCACCUUUCUGGUCAAAUAGUGUUCUGAAUGUUCCUGCGAGAGUGUUUUUGAUGAGAUUACCAGUUAAAUCUGUGGACUUUGAGUAAAACAGAUUGCCAUCCAUAAUGUGGGUAGGCCACACAAUCAGUUGAAGGCCCAAAUGGAACAAAGGCCUGCUCUCCUCCAGGCAAGAGCAAAUCCUGCUAGCUGACUGACUUCAGACUUAAACUGCACGAUUAGCUCUUCCUGAGUCUCCAGCCUUCAAAUCACCCUGCAGAUUUGGGACUUGACAACCUCCAUAACUGCAUGAGCCAACUCCUUAAAUCUUUUUCCCUAUUUACACACACACACAUACACACACACACACACACACACACACACACUGGCACACUGGUUCUGUUUCUCUGGAGAACCCUGGCUAAUAUAUUAUCUAACCCAGUACAGCCCUGUAGAUAAAGUAUACAGAAAGUGUCCUGUGGGAAAACACAUAUUAUUUAAUUAUGCUCGAUAAGGAAGAGACAGAAUUUAGGCACUCAGAUUUCUGGGUUAGAGUAAUGGAACCAGCAUGACAUCUCCCUGUUUGUCAUGAAUUCCAAAUGGCUGGGUUUUCAGUGGAAUUCAAAUUAUAGGGAGGGGAGGGCACCUUGACUAGGUAUAGCUUAUAGCAGAAAUUUCCAAAGGAUGGUCCUUGGGGAUAUCUGAGACUGUUGCAGAGGAUCCACAGAAUUAAAACUAUUGUCAUAAUGAUAGUUUUUUUUUGCUUAUUUUAAUUGAAAUUGACCUUUAAAUUUUUUUUUUUUUUAAUAUUUAUUUACUUGUGAGAGAGAGAGACAGAACAUGAGCAGGGGAGCGGCAGAGAGAGGGAGACACAGAUCUAAAGCAAGCUCCAGGCUCUGAGGUGUCAGCAUAGAACCCGAUGCAGGACUUGAACUCUCGAACUGCAAGAUCAUGACCUGAGCCGAAGUUGGACGCUUAACCAACUGAGCCACCUAGGUGCCCCUUGAAUUGACCUUUAAACUGAUGAAACCGAUGUGUAAUGUGUCUGAGCAUGAGUCAAUGUAUUCCCCUCUGCCCCCAGGCAUUGUUUCUUUACUAAAGUGGACUUUCAAGGCAAUAAAAGCCAGUUUUAUUUGAGAAUGCCAUUAGGAGAGCAAUGAAAAUUAAUAAUUGCGUUAAUUCUGACAUUUUUUGUUGUGGCAAAAUCAGAAGUUCACCCGAAGCAGUUUUGUGUCUUAUCAGGUAUGAUGGUUACCUGGAGGAAAAGGCCUUGUGUGAUUGAGUUGCUAGCUGAACUAGCCACUUUUUUUUCAUGGAACAGUAUUUUUACUUGACAGAACAAUUAACAAAGUGUACUUACUCAGACUUAGGCACUUGGCAAACAUUUUCUUGGAAGUGAAUGACGUGAGUCUGUCACUUAAAGGUAAAUGAGAGUAUUUGUUACAAAUGAUGAAAGACAGACUUUCAAAAGAAAAUUAGAAUUUUAGGGGUGCCUGGGUGGCUCAGUCAGUUAAGCCUUCAGUUCAGUCCAUGAUCUUUCAGUCUGUGAGUUCGAGCCCCACGUCAGGCUCUGUGCUGACAGCUCAGAACCUGGAGCCUGCUUCCCAUUCUGUGUCUCCCUCUCUCUCUGCCCCUCCCCUGCUCACACUAUGUCUCCCUCUUCCUCUCUCAAAAAUAAACAAACAUUUAAAAACAUUAAAAAAAAAGAAAAUUAGAAUUUUAGAGAACUUGUGUCUGCCAUUAUGAGCUUAACAGCUCUCUUAUGAGGCUCACAGUGAUGUUGAUUGUUGAUGAACAUGAUUAUUACUGUAUCACGAAACAUAUCAAGAUUUAGAAUGUUUGCCUAACACAGUGAACUAUUGUUUUCCAAAUGACAAAGGCAGGAUAUUACAAAAAUCACAUGUGAGUAAUAGAUCCAUUCAAACAAAAAGACGAACUAAUGUAUGUUAAUGUUCAUUCAUGUAAUUUCAGAUUCCACAUUGCAACUCACCUUUAAAAAUUAUUACUUGUCAAGUUUUGGUGUAAUAUGAUAAAAGAAUACCUAUAAUUAUCAAACAGGCUAUUACAAUACUCUUUCCUUUUCUAACCAGACAGAUGGUAAGACCAAACAUUCAUCAUAUUCUUGAACCAAAACAAUAUAUUGUAAUAGGCUGAAUACAGAUGGAGGUGGAAGCCCCAGUUGUCUUCUAUUAAACCAGACAUUAAAGAGUUUAGCAAAAAAUGUAAAACAGUGCUGCACUCCUCACUAAUUAUUUGAAAAUACAAACAUGCUAUUUAUUUUAACAUGUAGUAGAUUUGUUAUUAUUUUAGAUGGAGACAUAACUACUCAUAAAAAUUCCCAAUUUUAAUUUCCAAUACAGCAAAUAUUGAUAUAACCCAUAUAAACAAAAGCUCUUUGGAAUCCCCCCCCCCAAUUUUAGGGUGCCUGGGUGGCUCAGUUGGUUAAGAGUCCAACUCGUGACUUCAGCUCAUGUCAUGAUCUCAUGGUUCAUGGGUUCCAGCCACACCAGGGCUCCAUGCUAAUAGUGCAGAGCUUGCUUGGGAUUGGUAAGGCCUUUCAAAUAAUUGAAUCAGGCCCACCAAGAUUAUCUAUUACAGCUCGAAGACAGAUUUUCUAGGAUUAUCUCCUUUGCUUCAAGUGAACAGAUUAUGGGAUUUAAUGACAUUGACAAAAUAAUUUCAUUGCAACACAGAUUUUAGUGUAAACAAAUAAAUGAAAGCUAUUGUCUAAUCAAAUUGACACAUAGAAAAAGACCAUCACAGUCCACCCCUUAUCAACCUGGCAUCCAUACACAUCUCUUUAAACCAUACUUAAAAUCCAAGCAUUCAUUCCUGAAGGGUUUGAGCUAUUUGCAAUCCUACCUCACUGGGUUGUGGUAGUUUUCCACUGACUUCAAUCAUAGACUGUGGUAGUAAUAAGAGAUAACCCUAAGGGAUCUCCCUUAUUCCAGACAUAUUCUUACAUUCAUUUUGUAACUCAUUUACACUUUUAAUCAGGAACAAUCCUGCCAGCCAGUACAGUAGCCUCCUUAUUUGUCUAUUGAUCGAGACCCUUGAAUUGCCCAGUGGUUGGGUGACAUCUUGAUUAUACUGGACUGCUUAUAUCAUAGAUGGAACAGCACUAUGUUCUUAUUGGCAAUAGAUAAUUAACUCUACACAUAGAUCUGUCUUUCCUGUGUGCCUUACUCUUGCCAAACUACCAUCUGUGGCCUUACAGAAUACGUAUUGUCCUUUGUUUUACUUGGGAUCCUUACUCUUGGGAUUAAGACCCAAGCAAUGGUCACUCACUGAGACAGCAAAGACUCGGAGAGGAAUACUUCGCAAUCAGUUGUUGGACAAAUGAGUUGCAUGUUACUCGGAUAGGUCAAAAGAUGUGCAGAUAAUCAAUAUACAGAAUGUUUGAAUCAUGGGACUAGAUGACAGAGAGAGAGAGAGAAAAGUAAUAGAGAGCUCCACCCACCCCCUCCCCCACAACCCUUGAAGGGAGAUAUAUAACAGAGAGAAAAGAAACAACCAGAAAGAUUAAGAAGUAGUUACCACUGACCUGAGGGGCUAAAAAUAUGUAUCUUUCUGAAGACUAACUCACUUUAAGUAUUUUGAAUUUUGUAGUGUUUCACAAAGAGAAUCAUGCCUUCUGCUGGUCUGCCAUGCAGACAAAUGUGGGAAUCAUGGUAGAAAAUUUUGUGCUACAAACCAAAGAUUUAUUGAUCUCUGCUACAAAGAAAUGAAAGAGUAAUGAGGGCUUAGGAUAACUCAUUCAUUCAUUCAUUCAUUCAUUCAAUAAGAGGUUUUUCAGAAAAUAAUACAUAAGUGACAUUAAUUUAGGCAUGACGAAUACAAAAUUUAAUAAAAUUUGCUUCCUCGCUAAAGGUAAUUAAGAAACGUUUUGGUGGAAAUAUAAGACCUGACUCAGCAUUUUUUUUCGAUGGGGAUCCAGGAGAAGACUGAGAAAUCUCAGAUUUGGAUUUAAACAUCUCAUCACAGGGUUUAACAAUGCUCAGUGAAUAUGAAUUUGGGAGAAUUAAGGGAAAAAAUGACCAGCUCAGUUAACUCCUGGGAUAUUUCGAAACAUUUCACUUCUCCUAGAAUUGAGACACUUUUUUUUUUUAUCACCAUUUUGCACUUUCCCAGUGAGGGUAUGAACCAGCUGCCUAUUGAGCAAAAAUAUUACCAUCCAAUUAAUAUUUUGGAAGCAAUGACAGACUAUCUUAACCUCCUGGCUCAGCAGUCUGUUCUGAGAGUCUGAUCAUACAGGAAGUGAGAUAAACGUGGGGCCAGUCAGUUCAUCAGGCCCUCACCACAAAGAGC